rnacentral:lncRNA from 1 species
AGGAGGCAUUAGGCGGGGAGCUCCGAGGGAGUGAAGGCAUCCCCGGAAUCAGGGUCUCACAGGCGGUAAGAUGGGCACUCCCUAAGAAACCAGAACCCCUGAGAGCCAGGAAAUGCUCCUGGCAAACACAGAGUACAUGGGAGCCUCAGGGGCUGUGGAGUCAACUCCAGGCCCUCUGGGGGAUUCUUCUAAGGCAACACGGGGUGUCAGCCAGAACCAUGGACCAUCUCCAGACCUUGGACAGAACCUGCGGGUCACAAAGGGGUGACAGUCUCCCAAGGAAACAAUAAAGUGAGGAUGGUGGGUCCCAAUGACUCUGCUCACAGCCCAGCUGCAACUGGCCUUCUCUCUUCCAGGACUCGGUGCCUCCUACAGGUGACCGCCCCUCACAGCCACCAGGUUCCAAGAAGCAGGUGUUGACCAGGAGCGCUGCCCGUGUGCCACGCUUGCCGCCCCAGUCACAGAGAUCACACGCCUGGGGGCCAUGAGGAAACACAGAUGUUUCCCUGCCUGCUCUCUGUGCCUGCCUCCCAUGACCUUCAGGGCACUGGACAAAAGAACCACCCUCCUGCUGCUCGACGUGAGAUGGUCGCGGUGCUCAGACAAGGGCUGCCACCACCAAGCACCCACCUGGUCAAUCAAGCCUGUCCUAACCAUCACAGGCAGGGGCUCCUCUGGCCAUUCCACAGAGGAUGUGGAUGAGGGGGUUGGUUUUAUUAUUGUUUUUUACCAUCUUGCCCCUCAGGGCUAGCCUGCCAGAUUCACAGUAAUGUUAACAAUGAAACCAUCACUCAAUCAAUACCGCAACUCUAAAGCAGUUUGGUUUUAUGACUCGUCUGAUUUUAUAUACAAUUUGGCCACAUGCAUCCCCCAUGAGGCUGGCUGGGAGCCCACUUCCAGGUGGCAGUCCUGUCCUACUAACCAGGGAUUUCUUUGGUCCUCCACCUCUGGUGGGCUACUGCAGGCCCAAGGGCAGUGUCCACACCGCUUCUAAGUCAUGGAGCCUGACAGUUCAAAGCAGACCCACUGCGUUGAGACCUGACAGUUAGCUCUAUACUCUGAAAUAAUUCAGAUUUAAAUCAGGUAUAUAAAAUAAAUCCCCAGAGACAGCCA